rnacentral:lncRNA from 1 species
AUGACAGAGCGCACACCUGUUUGAAGGAGGUCCUGACUGAUCUUCCUCUGAUUUUGUCUGAUUUGCAUGCCACAGCAAGACCUUCAUGUGGAGAUCUGCAUGAGAAGGAAAAAUAAUGGUGGGUGGAAGAGAAGACAGGAACAACGUGAACUAUAUUUACAUUCUUGGGAAAAGGGGGGCCUGGCAGCUCCUGCCCGUGUGUGCCGUGAAGCAGUGAAGAAGGGCCCUUGCCCCAAGGACCACGCCUCAGCUAAGAGACCAGAGAGAAUGGGUGGGUGCCAGGAACA